rnacentral:tRNA from 1 species
AAGGGUAUAGCUCAGUGGUAAAGCCCAUGCUUAGUAUGCACCAGGUCCUGGGUUCAAUCCCCAGUGCCUCCA